UGUUAGGGUAUAUACUAUUAAUCAUGUGUUUAGACAUAGUAUUCUAACAAUUUUCAAGAUUAAAUAUCUAAGUGGGAGAUUGUUAGGGUAUAUACUAUUAACCAUGCAUUUAGAUAUAGUACAUUAUAACAAUUGUGAUGGUUAAAAGUCUAAGUGGGAGAUUGUUGGGAUAUAUACUAUUAACCAUGUGUUAAGAAAUAAUAUUUAUUAUAGAAUAAAUAUUUGCUCAAUUUUAAUAGAUCAUAAAUUCGUUUAUGGUGUCUAUUUACUUAUAUAGUAG
rnacentral:lncRNA from 1 species